GUGAGGGAUCUCCCGAUGGUCACAUGACCAAAAGUGCUGAAUCACUACAUUGAGGAGCAGAAACAGCCAAAUACAGAGAACUGCAAAGCGGCAGAAAUGGACACAUCCCUUUAUUAAUCCGGGGUCGCCUCAGCAGAAUGAACCGCCAACUUAUCCAGCACCUUUUUUACGCAGCGGAUGCCCUUCCAGUCGCAACCCAUCUCUGGGAAACAUCCACACACACUUAUUCACUACGGACAAUUUAGCCUACCAAAUUCACCUACUGCAUGUCUUUGGACUGUGGAGGAAACCAGAGCACCCGGAGGAAACCCACGCGAACGCAGGGAGAACAUGCAAACUCCACACAGAAACACCAACUGACCCAGCCGAGGCUCGAACCAGCGACCUUCUUUUCAGGCGUUUGAUAGCACUCUAUUGGAAGAACAUAGAAAGUCCUUCGAUAGAUCACUGGCUGAAAGAUUUGGCACAUUACAUUGCACUGGAAAGAAUCACCUACAGUAUAAAGGGCAAACUAAAGGAGUACCAUAAAAUUUGGGAUCUGUUUUUACAAUUUUUGGAUCAUAACUAUACAAUGGCACAAGCAAAUACCUCUCAUGCUAUUAGUUAAUUGAUUGAUAUUUGUAUAUGUGUAUUUUUUUAUGUGGAAUACAGUAUAUGUUUUUCUUUGCCUUAGCCCAUGUAAAACAAUACAUCUACCUGUUAAACUGAAUCUGGAUGCUUUGGGGGAGGGAGGGGGGAAGAGUUAAAAUGUAAAAAAAGUGUAUUUUCAUGCUAAAUUUCAAGUGUUUUUUCUACAACAAAAAAUGUUUAAUCAGAAAUUGUAAAAUUACACAAUAUUGCUGUCUUACUGAUUUCUGUAUCAAAUAAAU